UAGAUCUGGACGGAAAUCCAAUCAACCCAAUUACGAUAUGUAUGAUUGGUGCCGGAGGCUUUAUUGGCUCGCAUUUAUGCGAGAAGCUAAUGUCGGAGACGCCGCACAAGGUGCUCGCCGUCGAUGUUUACAAUGACAAGAUCAAGCACCUUCUCGAACCGGCUACUCUCACCUGGGCUGAUCGCAUCCAGUUCCACCGCAUCAACAUCAAGAACGAUUCUCGUCUUGAAGGCCUUAUCAAGAUGGCAGAUCUGGUAAUUUUACUCUUUUUUUGCUUCUCAUUAUAUGAAUAAUGGAUCUUCUCGUUGUGAAUUGUGUUAUUGUCAAAAUUCUUAGAUUCAUAUUUUGUUCUAUUAAUAUCCUUGCCAGAUAUUAAAACGUACUAUUCUUUUUUAAAUAUUUGAUUACUCAUUCAUUGGAUCUGUAUUCGAGAUCUUAUUGGAUCUGAAUGUCAUCAUUCUCGUGUUUCUUUAGAGACAUUUUUCUCAAAUUAAAAAAGCUUUAUAUGUCCUUGAAUGUAUUGUUUAAUCUUAUCUUUGGAUGCUUUAUACUAAUUUUAGUAUGAUUGCUUUAAUUAUGGACUACUUUAUGCACUGACACAUUUUCCUCCUAUUUUUAAAUGUUGAUCCGGUCAAUUCUUUGACUGUUGCUAACUUUUUGGCUUUUCUUGUGAUGUAGACCAUCAAUCUUGCUGCAAUAUGCACUCCAGCGGAUUACAACACUCGUCCACUUGACACUAUUUACAGCAACUUCAUUGAUGCUCUUCCAGUGGUAUGCAUCUCUCAUUUUUAACUUCACUUUUGCCUUUUUUUUGGGGGCUCAUAUUUUGCUAUGCAGUUGGUUGUUAUUGGAAAUGAAUCCAGUUGACUACAGACAAUUUUGAUCCUUGUGAUUAGUUAGAGUGUGAAGUUGAUGUGAAUUGAUUAAUACAGGUGAAGUACUGCUCAGAAAAUGGGAAGCGUCUUAUUCACUUUUCCACCUGUGAAGUUUAUGGGAAAACGAUAGGUGCCUUUUUACCCAAGGAUAGCCCAUUGCGGCAGGUGAGACUUCACUAACAUCUUAUUUUGUACCAUAUUUAAUGCAACACCUAAGGUGAAACUCGCUUUGUUGUUUCCAUGCGGUUCUUGUCCGACCCUUAUAAAUGUCAAUUAAUUUCAACUAUGUUGUUUGGUAUUUGUAUAACAUACUUGUACUGGCCCCUUGUAUCCAGUAUUUAAGUUGCUUUGUUCCAUAAUCGUUUAGUUAGAUUUAACUUGUUCUAUAAUGAUCUAGGACUUGCAUUUUUAUUUUGUCUUUUCCUCCAUGCUGCUUUUCCAUACCCCCACCUGAAAAGAGAAGGCAGGGUAAUUAAGAAGUUAAGGGAGUUUUUGAUAUUUAAGAUUUGUGUGCUCAUAUAUUUAAAAUCAUCUCUGAUACACAGUCCUUUUCUAUAUGUUGAGAAGUUGGCAAUCGCUAAGUGAUUUACGAGGACCGACAAUGUGCCUUUUCUAUAUGUUGCAUGGAUCAUCUAGCAGAUUGAAUCUAAAUGGAUGAGGAACCAUUCAGUCUUGUGCAUCCCACGACAUGCUUAACUUUUGUUGUGGAAUCAUGGAUGAUCUGAUACUCAUUUACUGUUUUCUGAUACUAUUCAGAUUUUUGGAGGUGUUUUAAAUCUUUCUUCUGAUUUUCUCUUAGGAUCCUGCUUACUAUGUGCUUAAGGAAGAUGCCUCCCCUUGCAUUUUUGGAUCUAUUGAGAAGCAGAGGUGGUCAUAUGCCUGUGCAAAGCAAUUGAUUGAGAGAUUGAUAUAUGGUAUGUGAAGUUUUACCUGAUUGUCUGUCUUAAAACUUGAAUAUUCUCUGGUAUAAUUCUUAUGCAUACUAUUUUGCAGCCGAGGGUGCUGAGAAUGGCUUAGAAUUCACAAUUGUAAGGCCGUUCAAUUGGAUUGGUCCCAGGAUGGAUUUCAUACCUGGCAUUGAUGGUCCUAGUGAGGGUGUUCCAAGAGUGUUAGCUUGCUUUAGUAAUGUACGAAUGAUUUGUAUUUCUGAUUUAUUUUGAUUGGAUUUAAACUUGCAUAUAUUCUUGGAUCUCACUUUCUAUUAUUUCAUUUUUCCCUCUCUUUUCAGAACCUUUUAAGACGUGAACCACUGAAACUAGUCGACGGUGGGGAAUCACAGAGAACUUUU
rnacentral:lncRNA from 1 species